UACGGUCACAUCUCGUUGAAACACCAGUUCCCAUACUAUCACCGAAGUUAAGCAAUGUCAAGUCUGGUGAGUACCUAGAUGGGUGACCCCUUGGGAAUACCAGGUACUGUAAG